GCGCGAUUGGUGCAGUAGUAGCAUAUCGCUCUCCGGAAGCGAAGACCGGCGUGCAAAUCGCCGAUUGCGCG